GACGAACGCUGGCGGCGUGCUUAACACAAGCAAGUCGAACGGAAAGGCCCUGCUUUUGUGGGGUGCUCGAGUGGCGAACGGGUGAGUAACACGUGAGUAACCUGCCCUUGACUUUGGGAUAACUUCAGGAGACUGGGGCUAAUACCGGAUAGGAGCUCCUGCUGCAUGGUGGGGGUUGGAAAGUUUCGGCGGUUGGGGAUGGACUCGCGGCUUAUCAGCUUGUUGGUGGGGUAGUGGCUUACCAAGGCUUUGACGGGUAGCCGGCCUGAGAGGGUGACCGGCCACAUUGGGACUGAGAUACGGCCCAGACUCCUACGGGAGGCAGCAGUGGGGAAUAUUGCACAAUGGGCGGAAGCCUGAUGCAGCAACGCCGCGUGCGGGAUGACGGCCUUCGGGUUGUAAACCGCUUUCGCCUGUGACGAAGCGUGAGUGACGGUAAUGGGUAAAGAAGCACCGGCUAACUACGUG
rnacentral:rRNA from 1 species